CAUACUUCCAAGAAAAGCUUGCACUGUCAUAAGUAAAAAAUGCCUGUACCAUAACCGACACAGGUGGGUAAGUAGAGUAUACUAAGGGGCGCGAGAUAACUCUCUCUAAGGAACUCGGCAAAAUAACUCCGUAACUUCGGGAGAGGGAGUGCCUUAUUCUUAAGGUUGCAAUAACAAGAUCCAAGCAACUGUUUAUCAAAAACACAGGUCUCCGCUAAGUCGUAAGACGAUGUAUGGGGGCUGACGCCUGCCCAGUGCCAGAAGGUUAAAGAAGUUGGUUAGCAAUUGCGAAGCUGGUAACUGAAGCCCUGGUGAACGGCGGCCGUAACAAUAACGGUCCUAAGGUAGCGAAAUUCCUUGUCGGGUAAGUUCCGACCCGCACGAAAGGCGUAAUGAUUUGGAUGCUGUCUCGGAGAGGGGCUCGGUGAAAUAGACUUGUCUGUGAAGAUGCGGACUACCUGCACCAGGACAGAAAGACCCUAUGAAGCUUUACUGUAACUUGAAAUUGAAAUUGGACUUUAUUUGCGCAGUAUAGGUGGGAGGCGUUGAUUAUAAUCUUGCGGGAUUAUUGGAGCCAUCAGUGAGAUACCACUCUUGUAAUGUUAGAUUUCUAACUUUGAAUCAUUAUCUGGUCAAAGGACAAUUUCAGGCGGGCAGUUUGACUGGGGCGGUCGCCUCCUAAAUGGUAACGGAGGCGUACAAAGGUUUCCUCUGAACGGUUAGAAAUCGUAUCUAGAGUGUAAAGGCAUAAGGAAGCUUGACUGUGAGACCUACAAGUUGAGCAGGGACGAAAGUCGGUCUUAGUGAUCUGACGGUACUGAGUGGAAAGGCCGUCACUCAACGGAUAAAAGUUACUCUAGGAUAACAGGCUGAUCUCCCCCAAGAGUUCACAUCGACGGGGAGGUUUGGCACCUCGAUGUCGGCUCAUCGCAUCCUGGGGCGGUAGUACGUCCCAAGGGUUGGGCUGUUCGCCCAUGAAAGCGGUACGCGAGCUGGGUUCAGAACGUCGUGAGACAGUUCGGUCCAUAUCCGGUGUAGGCGUUAGAAUAUUGAGAGGAGCCUUCUUUAGUACGAGAGGACCGAGAAGGACAUACCUCUGGUGUACCAGUUAUCGUGCCAACGGUAAACGCUGGGUAGCUAUGUAUGGAGUGGAUAACCGCUGAAAGCAUCUAAGUGGGAAGCCCACCUCAAGAUAAGUAUUCUCC
rnacentral:rRNA from 1 species